rnacentral:rRNA from 1 species
UACGGGGGGAGCAAGCGUUGUUCGGAUUUACUGGGCGUAAAGGGCGCGUAGGCGGCCACCGCAAGUCGACUGUGAAAUCUCCGGGCUUAACCCGGAAAGGUCAGCCGAUACUGCGGGGCUAGAGUGCAGAAGGGGCAACUGGAAUUCUCGGUGUAGCGGUGAAAUGCGUAGAUAUCGAGAGGAACACCUGCGGCGAAGGCGGGUUGCUGGGCUGACACUGACGCUGAUGCGCGAAAGCUAGGGGAGCGAAACGGGAUUAGAACCUACGUGUC